UAGUCCACACCGUAAACGAUGAAUGCCAGACGUCGGGGGGCUUGCCCUUCGGUGUCACACCUAACGGAUUAAGCAUUCCGCCUGGGGAGUACGGUCGCAAGAUUAAAACUCAAAGGAAUUGACGGGGACCCGCACAAGCGGUGGAGCAUGUGGUUUAAUUCGAUGCAACGCGAAGAACCUUACCUGGUCUUGAUAUCCUGCGAACUUUCCAGAAAUGGAUUGGUGCCUUCGGGAACGCAGUGACAGGUGCUGCAUGGCUGUCGUCAGCUCGUGUCGUGAGAUGUUGGGUUAAGUCCCGCAACGAGCGCAACCCUUGUCUUUAGUUGCCAUCAUUAAGUUGGGCACUUUAAAGAGACUGCCGGUGACAAACCGGAGGAAGGUAAGGAUGACGUCAAGUCAGCAUGCCCCUUAUGCUCUGGGCUACACACGUGCUACAAUGGCCGUGACAAAGAGUUGCUACUUUGUGAAAACAAGCUAAUCUCAUAAACGCGGCCUCAGUUCGGAUUGC
rnacentral:rRNA from 1 species